GAGCUCAGCGGCCCGCAGCGGAGACCGGGCCGGGACCGGGACCAGGACCGGGACCUGCCCACCGUGUUCAUCCCGGCCGCAGCAGCCGCCAGGGGACGUGCUGCUUCUCCGGCCUUCGAGGCAGCCACCGCGGGCAAGGCUUGGCGGUGGGGCCAGGCCUGAGCACAGCAGCCGGGGAGAGAAGCGGCUGUGUGGUAUCUGAAUGAAUUUUGGCGGACACCUCCUGCCCGCCGAGCGUAAAACACCCCGAAAGAAUAACAGGAGUUAGAAAUUUUCUGAGCAGCUAAGAGUUCCCCAUAACAGAUUCUGCAAGCAGGCAGGCAGCUGCAUAGCCCACAGAACCAGGCAGCUGGGACCAACCCAACCCAGCCCAGCCCCGCUGAGCUGGCAAGACCUGGAAAUCCUUGGACUGUCAAAACCAGAAUAUGCAGUAAAGACGGAGUGUCAGUAAGCCAGGCCAGGUCAAGGUCCAUCAAGACAGCCAAGAGUUUUCCAGUGCUCUUUUCAGAGUAUGGUCUCCUGGAACACCUGGGAAGAUACAGCCCUGAUGGUGAUUGCUUCACACAGCACAACAAAAGUCUAAGGAUUGUCCCCUGUCAUUGUUGGGGUUUCUAGGAUGAGCAUCCUGUGGAGAGUCCUGGGGAAGCUGGAACACACUUAGGAGUCGUGGCAGAGCAGAAUGGGCAGGAAUUUGUAAAGGAGACCAGGGCAGUCAUUAUGCAAAUGGAUACAGCAGAGAGGAAUGAUUUGCCCAGAGGCAGCGAGCUGCCUGAUGGCAGUGUCAUGUGGUGUUGAAAGGAUUUAUGGGUUUAUAUGUAAGUAAAACUGUCCUUAGAGGACAGCCCACACUGAGAUUCUCUCUGUAGUGAAACCCCAAAUUUCAUCCUUCUAAUAAUCACAGUUAAGUUCCUCAGUAAUUUGUCUGAGUGUUACUGUU